AGAUUUUAGGGCCCGCACAUAGUCGCCUU
rnacentral:sRNA from 1 species